GAUGAACGCUGGCGGCGUGCCUAAUACAUGCAAGUCGAGCGAACAGACGAGGAUCUUGCUCCUCUUACGGUAGCGGCGGACGGGGGAGUAACACGUGGAUAACCUACCUAUAAGACUGGGAUAACUUCGGGAAACCGGAGCUAAUACCGGAUAAUAUAUUGAACCGCAUGGUGCAAUAGUUAAAGAAGAUUGUGCUGUCACUGAUAGAGGGUGCCGCGCCGCAUUAGCUAGUUGGUAAGGUAACGGCUUACUAACGCAACGAUGCGUAGCCGACCUGAGAGGGUGAUCGGCCACACUGGAACUGAGACACGGUCCAGACUCCGACGGGAGGCAGCAGUAGGGAAUCUUACGCAAUGGGCGAAAGCCUGACGGAGCAACGCCGCGUGAGUGAUGAAGGUCUUCGGAUCGUAAAACUCUGUUAUUAGGGAAGAACAAAUGUGUAAGUAACUAUGCACGUCUUGACGGUAGCUAAUCAGAAAGCAACGGCUAACUACGUG
rnacentral:rRNA from 1 species